CAUUUGCUUAGAUGCACUAACAUGCAGUUAGGAGUUUUAAGACGAAAUAUUAUCGAAGUGGAUCCAAGUCACCAACAUAGUUUGGAGUUUUAGGACGAAACAUUAUCGAAGUGGAUCCAAGUCAAGCUACCUAAGAACCUAGGACGAAACAUUAUCUAAGUGGAUCCAAUUCUAGCUACCUAAGACCAAUAGGGUCCCACUGUAUAUUAAGUGUCCCUAAUACAUUGGUACAUGGUAUCAGCUGAAUACAGCUGUAAUGUUUGUGUAACUACUCAUAUGUAACAACCCACUGAAUGGUAUGUGUAAGUACAAAUGUGUAACGGGACAUUGGUAACAACAUUUUUUGGUAAUGAAAGUACAAAUGUGUAACAGGACUAACAGCACUUUUUUGUAAAGAAAGUGUUACACUUUAUAGGGCCCGAGCACCAUGGUGCGAGGACCCCCUUGGAAUUGCUCCGUUUAUUCUUCUUCUCUUCCUUCUCCAAAGUAUAUUGUUUUAAUUCUGUUUAAGGUAGACUUAUAAUAUGAAAUGUGCGUGUUCUGUUACAAAUCCUUUCAACUAAUGAACAGUUAACAUAAAUGCUCCCUGUGAUGUGCGAUGGAUUGAGAUUUUUUUUGUGCCAAAAGUUGUGCAACUUCUGUUUCAUCACAAAUUUAAUUAACUGGUAUUACAUUUUAAAUGAUUUAAAAGGCAUCAUUUCAUUUCUUGAGAUAAAUUUCUCAUUUCUUUUUUUCUCCAUCAGGGUGUGGCCAAAGCUUUCAUUGGUGCUUUCUCAUCAUUGCAAGUUUUCAGAUGCUGGCCAGUCACUUCUUCCAAGGCUCCAAACACUGCCAUGUGAGCAGACUGCUCCACUGAAACUGCAUAGUGUGUGUGUACUUUCAACACUAAGACUUAAGGUCAUCGUAGCCACCAGAUCCAGUCUGUAUCCAGAUCAGAUGGUGGAUCAGCACCUAGACAUGCCCUCGACAGCCCUGAAUGUCAGCGGACACCAGGACAACUAGAUGAGCCCAAGAGACAGAUCCCCUCCGAAGACCUCGUCACCUA
rnacentral:lncRNA from 1 species